GCAAUGGUUGUUCAGUGGUAGAAUUCUAGCCUUCCAUGUGGGAGUCGCAGGUUCAAUUCCUGGCCAAUGCA
rnacentral:tRNA from 1 species